rnacentral:rRNA from 1 species
GACGAACCGUGCGAACGUUGUUCGGAUUCACUGGGCUUAAAGGGCGCGUAGGCGGGCCAUCAAGUCAGGGGUGAAAUCUUUCGGCUCAACCGGAAAAGUGCCUUUGAUACUGGUGGCCUCGAGGGAGGUAGGGGCAUGCGGAACUUCCGGUGGAGCGGUGAAAUGCGUAGAUAUCGGAAGGAACGCCGGUGGCGAAAGCGACGUGCUGGACCUCUUCUGACGCUGAGGCGCGAAAGCCAGGGGAGCAAACGGG